rnacentral:rRNA from 1 species
UGCCCAACAGCUAGCCCCACCCCUAAAAAACAACAGACCAUUAUUUAUAACCCCACAUGCACAAAUGUUUUCACAAAACAAAUCAUUUUUCCCCCUUAGUAUGGGCGACAGAAAAG